ACCCACGUAAUAACUGUUCAUUACAACACACACAUAUAUACACACAUCGUUAGACAACGUUAUUAAGAGAUGAGAGAUAUCCAACAAGUAAGUACGUCGAGUAUUGCCCAAAAAAAAGUGUGUGUUCUGUGGAUGUGACGUAUGGGGUUGUGGGUU
rnacentral:ribozyme from 12 species